UGGGGAAUAUUGCACAAUGGGCGCAAGCCUGAUGCAGCCAUGCCGCGUGUGUGAAGAAGGCCUUCGGGUUGUAAAGCACUUUCAGCGAGGAGGAAGGGUAGUGUGUUAAUAGCACAUUGCAUUGACGUUACUCGCAGAAGAAGCACCGGCUAACUCCGUGCCAGCAGCCGCGGUAAUACGGAGGGUGCAAGCGUUAAUCGGAAUUACUGGGCGUAAAGCGCACGCAGGCGGUUUGUUAAGUCAGAUGUGAAAUCCCCGCGCUUAACGUGGGAACUGCAUUUGAAA
rnacentral:rRNA from 1 species